CAAUAGCGUAUAUUUAAGUUGCUGCAGUUAAAAAGCUCGUAGUAGGAUUUCGGGUGGGAAUGGCCGGUCCGCCGUUUCGGUGUGCACUUGCUACGCCCACCUUGCUGCCGGGGACGUGCUCUUGAGUUCACGCUCGGGACACGGAGUCGGCGAGGUUACUUUGAGUAAAUUAGAGUGUUCAAAGCAGGCCUACGCUCUGAAUACAUUAGCAUGGAAUAACACGAUAGGACUCUGGCCUAUCUUGUUGGUCUGUAGGACCGGAGUAAUGAUUAAGAGGGACAGUCGGGGGCAUUCGUAUUUCAUUGUCAGAGGUGAAAUUCUUGGAUUUAUGAAAGACGAACUACUGCGAAAGCAUUUGCCAAGGAUGUUUUCAUUAA
rnacentral:rRNA from 1 species